rnacentral:rRNA from 1 species
GACGAACGCUGGCGGCGUGCUUAACACAUGCAAGUCGUGCGGUAAGGCCCUUUCGGGGGUCCACGAGCGGCGAACGGGUGAGUAACACGUUAGCAACCUGCCCUUCACUUUUGGAUAACUGCCGGAAACGGUGGCUAAUACCGGAUAUGACUUCCUCACGCAUGUGGGGUGGUGGAAAGCCUUCGGGUGGUGGGGGAUGGGCUCGCGGCCUAUCAGCUUGUUGGUGGGGUGAUGGCCUACCAAGGCUUCGACGGGUAGCCGGCCUGAGAGGGUGACCGGCCACACUGGGACUGAGACACGGCCCAGACUCCUACGGGAGGCAGCAGUGGGGAAUAUUGGACAAUGGGCGAAAGCCUGAUCCAGCAACGCCGCGUGAGGGAUGACGGCCUUCGGGUUGUAAACCUCUUUCGCCUGCGACGAAGCGAGAGUGACGGUAGCAGGUAAAGAAGCACCGGCCAACUACGUG